UAAGCUAUCUCGGCUUAGAUCAAGUGUAGUAUCUGUUCUUAUCAGUUUAAUAUCUUAUAUUCCUCUAUAAGGGCACAACAUAUUAAACAGAUGUUUCGCUGGGAGCUGAAAAGAGGGGCUCGCCCUGUUCACUCCACACAUCGACCCGCUAUUGCAGAUCCUCCAGGAACGGUGUGCCCUGA